rnacentral:rRNA from 1 species
CCUACGGGAGGCAGCAGUGAGGAAUAUUGGUCAAUGGCCGUAAGGCUGAACCAGCCAAGUCGCGUGAAGGAAGACGGCCCUAUGGUUUGUAAACUUCUUUUAUAGGGGAAUAAAGGUAUCCACGUGUGGAUGUUUGCAUGUACCCUAUGAAUAAGCAUCGGCUAAUUCCGUGCCAGCAGCCGCGGUAAUACGGAGGGUCCGGGCGUUAUCCGGAUUUAUUGGGUUUAAAGGGUGCGUAGGCGGAUCGUUAAGCCAGUGGUAAAAUUGUGGGGCUCAACCCGUGCGCGCCAUGGAAACUGGGGGUCUUGAGUGGAAGAGAAGUAGGCGGAAUGCGUGGUGUAGCGGUGAAAUGCAUAGAUAUCACGCAGAACCCCGAUUGCGAAGGCAGCAUGCCGGA